AUUGAACGCUGGCGGCAGGCUUAACACAUGCAAGUCGAGCGAGUGGCGGACGGGUGAGUAAUGUAUGGGGACUGCCCGAUAGAGGGGGAUAACUACUGGAAACGGUGGCUAAUACCGCAUACUAUCGGAUAACCCAUAUGGGAUUAGCUAGUUGGUGGGGUAAAGGCUCACCUAGGCGACGAUACCUAGCUGGUUUGAGAGGAUGACCAGCCACACUGGGACUGGGACACGGCCCAGACUCCUACGGAGGCAGCAUUGGGGAAUUUUGGACAAUGGGCGAAAGCCUGAUGCAGCCAUCCCGCGUGGAUGAAGAAGGCCUUAGGGUUGUAAAGUACUUUAAGCGGGGAGGCGUUACCAGCAGAAGAAGCACCGGCUAACUCCGUGCCAGCAGCCGCGGUAAUAC
rnacentral:rRNA from 1 species